AUUGAACGCUGGCGGCAGGCCUAACACAUGCCAGUCGAGCGGAUGAAGGGAGCUUGCUCCUGGAUUCAGCUGCGGACGGGUGAGUAAUGCCUAGGAAUCUGCCUGUUAAUUUGGGAUAACGUCCGGAAACGGGCGCUAAUACCGCAUACGUCCUGAGGGACAACGUGGGGAAUCUUCGGACCUUCCGCUAUCGGAUGAGCCUAGGUCGGAUUAGCUAGUUGGUGGGGUAAAGGCCUACCAAGGCGACGAUCCGUAACUGGUCUGAGAGGAUGAUCAGUCACACUGGAACUGAGACACGGUCCAGACUCCUACGGGAGGCAGCAGUGGGGAAUAUUGGACAAUGGGCGAAAGCCUGAUCCAGCCAUGCCGCGUGUGUGAAGAAGGUCUUCGGAUUGUAAAGCACUUUAAGUUGGGAGGAAGGGCAGUAAGUUAAUACCUCGCUGUUUUGACGGUACCAAAAGAAUAAGCACCGGCUAACUUCGUG
rnacentral:rRNA from 1 species